ACCCAAAUCAACUGUGGCACUACAGGUGCCAGCAUGACUUUAAUAAAAGUAAAAUGUUUGCUGGAGUUGCAUAAGCACUGUGCCAGCAGCCUACAGCUUGCAGCACAGAAGGAGUUAACAGCACAGCUCAUAGCAAUACAGAUCAGUCUGCAAAAUGCAAAGGGCAUGACUCACCCUUUUGCAAACUAAGAGCGGGAAAUCCCAGAUAGAAUGUGGUCCUGGGAAUGCAAAGUUAUAAAAGGGUUGUCCUGCAGCAGCCUGCAGAACAGUGAGCUGAGGAGAGUGAGCAGGCAGUGAGGAGACUGAGAGAACAGUGAGCUGAGGAGAUCGGGGCAGAGGCGGUAAGACGGAGAAAGAAAGGACCGCGGUGUGAGGGGAACGAAGAGAGCGCGCCCACCCGCCAGACUCGCCGCUGCCUGCCACGGCCGGAGAAAAGGAACAACACCGCCGCGUGUACAAGAGAGGGAGGUGGCUCAGGUCACAGAGGCUUCCUGACACCUGCCCAACAUCAAAGACGCCACGGCACAAGGGCUGGAGAUCCGGAAGGGGGGAGAUCGCGUGGGAAGAGGAUUCCCCUAACAACAGUCAUACGGGAGAGGCUGCAGUGACUGGGAGCACGGCUGCAGACAGCAGGAGCAACGAAUAUACCGCAGCUCAGAAAGCAGGUGGAGCAAGAGGUGGGGACAUCCUUCAUCACUUUCCGAGCUCUUCAGUACAAGACGCAAGUUGUUGCUGGGGUGAACUACUUCAUUAAGGUCUACGUGGGAUAUAAUGCGUGCAUACAUCUACGCGUCUACAGACCACUUCCGUAUACGAAUCAACCAAUGAGCCUCACUGCGGUCCAGCUCUGCAAAACCAGACAAGAUGACAUCACAUCCUUUUAACCCAACGCUUGCGCCAAAGCCGAACCGUCCUUCCGGGUCCAACAAAAUGUUCCUUAUAGUAACAUGGCUUUUGCUGCGUUACUGGUUUCUGAAUAUGAACAACAUUUUAUACAGUCUAUAUUCAAGAAGUGCUCUGAUAUGUGUAUGUAAUAACGUGUAUAUAAGUGUUGUCUAUUACUGACUCAUAGGUUUGUAAUAACUGGAGCAUUUGCAUAAAAUAAAAUGUGUCCAUCAUCCUCUCA